AGAGUUUGAUCCUGGCUCAGGACGAACGCUGGCGGCAUGCCUAAUACAUGCAAGUCGAACGGAUCUCUUCGGAGAUUAGUGGCGGACGGGGGAGUAACGCGGGGUGAGUAACUCGUGGGCAACCUGCCCCAAAGAUCGGGAUAACACUUCGAAAGGAGUGCUAAUACCGGGUGUGAUCUAGAAUUCGCAUGGAUUUUAGAAGAAAGGCUUCGGCCACUUUGGGAUGGGCCCGCGUCUGAUUAGCUAGUUGGUGGGGUAACGGCCUACCAAGGCGACGAUCAGUAGCCGACCUGAGAGGGUGAACGGCCACACUGGGACUGAGACACGGCCCAGACUCCUACGGGAGGCAGCAGUCGGGAAUAUUGGGCAAUGGACGAAAGUCUGACCCAGCAAUGCCGCGUGAGUGAUGAAGGUCUUCGGAUCGUAAAACUCUGUCUUUGGGGACGAACAAGGUGACCGUACAGGAAUAAGGGACGGCUAACUACGUGCCAGCAGCCGCGGUAAUACGUAGGGGGCAAGCGUUGUCCGGAAUUACUGGGUGUAAAGGGCGUGUAGGCGGGAAUGCAAGUCAGAUGUGAAAUGCCGAGGCUUAACCUCGGAGCUGCAUCUGAAACUGUGUUUCUUGAGUGUCGGAGAGGAAAGUGGAAUUCCCAGUGUAGCGGUGAAAUGCGUAGAUAUUGGGAGGAACACCAGUGGCGAAGGCGACUUUCUGGACGAUAACUGACGCUGAGGCGCGAAAGCGUGGGGAGCAAACAGGAUUAGAUACCCUGGUAGUCCACGCCGUAAACGAUGGAUACUAGGUGUAGGAGGUAUCGACCCCUUCUGUGCCGGAGUUAACACAAUAAGUACCCCGCCUGGGGAGUACGGUCGCAAGACUGAAACUCAAAGGAAUUGACGGGGGCCCGCACAAGCGGUGGAGCAUGUGGUUUAAUUCGACGCAACGCGAAGAACCUUACCAGGGCUUGACAUCCUGCUACAGCUCAGAGAUGUACCUUCCCCUUCGGGGGCAGGGGUGACAGGUGGUGCAUGGUUGUCGUCAGCUCGUGUCGUGAGAUGUUGGGUUAAGUCCCGCAACGAGCGCAACCCUUGUUGUUAGUUGCCAUCAUUUAGUUGGGCACUCUAACGAGACUGCCGGUGACAAACCGGAGGAAGGUGGGGAUGACGUCAAAUCAUCAUGCCCCUUAUGACCUGGGCUACACACGUACUACAAUGGCGUAUACAGAGAGACGCGAAACUGCAAGUUAAGCGAACCCCUUAAAACAGGUCCCAGUUCGGAUUGUAGGCUGCAACUCGCCUACAUGAAGUUGGAAUCGCUAGUAAUCGCAGGUCAGCAUACUGCGGUGAAUACGUUCCCGGGCCUUGUACACACCGCCCGUCACACCAUGAGAGUCUGCAACACCCGAAGUCAGUAGUCUAACCGUAAGGAGGACGCUGCCGAAGGUGGGGCCGAUGAUUGGGGUGAAGUCGUAACAAGGUAACC
rnacentral:rRNA from 1 species